CCCUAUAGAGAGAUCUAUGUGGUGAGAAAUUAUGGCCUCCUGCUAGAAGCUAGUGAGAAACUGAAACUUCUUGCCAACAGCCAUGUGAGUGGGCCAUCUUGAAAGUAGAUCCUCUAGCCUCGGUCAAGCCUUCAGAUGAUGCAGCCCCCUCCAACAGCUUGACGAAUCGCUAAGUUAGGUUUCCGGAAAUUUCUGACAUGGAAAAGGAAGGAGC
rnacentral:lncRNA from 10 species